GAGGGGCAAGAACAGCCAUACAGGAGAAA
rnacentral:piRNA from 1 species